CAGUCCUAUACUUCUAACUAAAUAACUUUCCCUCUAAAUCUUUUCCCCUUCAAAGCUUAGAUCCAAGCUGAUGAACACAAUUCAGUUUACUUACAGUUUUGCACUAAAAAAAGUAGUUCCUGACUUAACAAAUAAAAUGCUCUCCAAUUUCUACAAUUAACCUACACUAGUCGUUCACUAUAUAUGCAUAGAAGGGACGUUCAAGUACAAUCAAUGACAUUCACAAAUCCCACUAAAAACAUCUUACUGUCAUCAAAUUCCUUGAAGAUCAAAUCUUCUAUUUAAGAGAACUUUGAUUCUCGCAUGUAAAGUCUGCACUGAAGUAUCACCGUUGAAGCUGACAAUUAUAAUCGGCACUAACAAGUUUAAAUACAGGGCAGCCAACUUUUUUUUUCUGAUGAUUUUGGAUUAUGACAUGGAAGCUCAAAUCUUCAACUUAGCUAGAUACACAGAUGCGAGCUCCUUUUCCUGCUAAAAUCCAAACACAGUAUUUAUGAUAAACGAAGUUACUAUUUUUAAUUCCAAGGCAAUCCAAUUGGUGAACUCAAUAAGUUUUAGCUCCUAGAAAUUCUACGAGGGAAAAGUACCUUUGUGAAUAGCUUUUCCAAUCAAAUCUGGUGCUGGUCCUCUCCGAUCAUGGCUAAGGCCUU
rnacentral:lncRNA from 1 species